rnacentral:rRNA from 1 species
ACGGGAGGCAGCAGUGGGGAAUAUUGCACAAUGGGGGGAACCCUGAUGCAGCGACGCCGCGUGAGUGAAGAAGUAUCUCGGUAUGUAAAGCUCUAUCAGCAGGGAAGAAAAUGACGGUACCUGACUAAGAAGCCCCGGCUAACUACGUGCCAGCAGCCGCGGUAAUACGUAGGGGGCAAGCGUUAUCCGGAUUUACUGGGUGUAAAGGGAGCGUAGACGGCGAUGCAAGUCUGAAGUGAAAGGCGGGGGCUCAACCCUUGGACUGCUUUGGAAACUGUAUUGCUAGAGUGCAGGAGAGGUAAGUGGAAUUCCUAGUGUAGCGGUGAAAUGCUUAGAUAUUAGGAGGAACACCAGUGGCGAAGGCGGCUUACUGGACUGUAACUGACGUUGAGGCUCGAAAGCGUGGGGAGCAAACAGGAUUAGAUACCCUGGUA